AUUGAACGCUGGCGGCAGCCCUAACACAUGCAAGUCGAGCGGAUGAAGGGUGCUUGCUUGUGGUUUCAGAGGCGGAAGGGUGUGAAAUGCCUGGGAAUAUGCUUGGCUGUGGGGGAUAACGUCCGGAAAAGGCUGCUAAUACCGCCUAAGUUCUGCGGCAGCAAGUGGGGGAUCUUUGGAACUUUCGCUAUGUGAUGAGUCUAGGCCGGAGUAGCUAGUUGGUGGGUUGAUGGUCUACCAAGCCGACUAUCCGCAACUGGUCUGAGAGGAUGAUCAGCCGCACUGGAACUGAGACGCGGUCCAGACGCCUACGAGAGGCAGCAGUGGGGAAUAUUGGACAAUGGUCGAGAGCCUGAUCCAGCCGUGCCGCGUGUGUGAAGAAGAUCUUCGGAUUGUAAAGCACGUUAAGUUGGGAUGAACGGCAGUAGGUUAAUACCUUGCUGUUGUGACGUUACCAACAAAAUAAGCACCGGCUAACUUCGUG
rnacentral:rRNA from 1 species